AUGAUGAACGAGAUUCAGGAUGAGUCUGCAGUUGAUCCAGUUAUACUGAUUAACACUUUAUCAAUUGAUGAUGCCAAUAAUGGUGGCACUGGCAAAAAGAGGAAAUCAAAGUCCAAAGUGUGGGAGGAUUUCAUUCCUGUUUCAAGUGGUGGAAACAUUCAGAGUGCAAUAUGCAAACAUUGUGGGAAGCGCCUUAGUGGGAGAAGUUCUGGAGGAACAAGCCAUUUGGGCCGGCAUCUGAAGAUUUGUCCUGGGAGACCUGGGAAAAGUAUGGAGGGGCAAAAGAAUUCAUCUUCACAGACUAACCCAUCAAUCCUGCAGAACUGGGAAUUUGAUCAGGAGAAAUCAGUGGAAGACCUUACUAGCUUGAUAAUCUCCAACCUAUGCUCCUUCUCAAUAGUGAAAAGUACAAGUUUUAUCCAGUUUGUGGCUAGCAUUAAUCCUACUUUUAAUAUGGUCUCGCAAGCUACAAUUGAAGAAAAGCUUAUUGCUAUUUUUCAUAAGGAAAAGUUGAAGCUAAAAGAGAAAGUGACAAAUGCAUCCGGUGGAGUUUUUUUAUCUGUUGGAAUGUGGGGCCUUGUAUUUUCACCGACCUUUCGGUGCUUCACUGUGCAUUUCAUUGAUGAGAAAUGGAAGAUGAAUAGAAGAAUAAUAAGUUAUAGAUGUGCAGGAACUGAAAAUGAUGAGGAUCAUUACUAUAUCAGCAUGUUUCCUGAUUGGCAGUCCUUCUGCAAUUUAGGUGAUUCGGAUAAGACGAAACUGCAAGUAGUUAAAGAUUGGGGUAUUCAGCAGAACCUUUUAGGAUUGACAUCACAAGUACCGGUGGAUAAUGAAUUCAUAUCGGGCAUAGAGGCAAGUCUUUCAGGAAGCAAGUAUCUUCUUUCCAAAUUUAAGCUAUUAACUGUUCCUUGUUUGGUGGAUGCAUCGGAUAGGCUUUUCGGGUAUGAAACCAAGAAAAUUAUUCAGGAAACAAGUCGGUCUUACUUCUGCUACAUGACUGGCUCUUCAGUGCGUAAGCAGAAGUAUAACCAAAUUAUUUCAAGUAUGCACCUAAAGCAUCCAUCCUUUGGAUCUAAACAAUGGUACUCAACUUUCUACCUAUUGGAGGUCAUUUUGAAGUUCUGCAAGGCAUUUCCCGAUAUUGAUAUAACAGAUCGAUUGUAUUAUAAAGAACCAACAUCUGAGCAACUAGAAGCAGCAGAAGCUUUUUGCAAGAUUGGAAGACCGAUCUACCAUGCAACGAGGGUCAUUUGUAACCCUCAUAAUGCUUCCAAUAUGUACUUUGAUCCACUGUGGCGUUUGAGGAUUGUGUUGCAAGAAUCAUCUAGCAAACCUGACAUUAAAAGAGUCCUUGAUGUUGAGAAUAUGAACAGAAAUUUUCAGAAGCAUUGGGACAAAUGGUACCUAUGGCUGUCUGUAGCUGUGGUCCUGGAUCCAAGACAUAAGAUCAGGUUUGUAGAAUUUCGCUUUCGACAAGCUUUUGGUACCAGUGCUAAAAUGUACAUCUCUGAAGUUCGUGGGAAGAUAUGUGAACUCUUCACCAGUUAUUCUUGCCACACCCGUCAGAAAAGUAUCUUAGCUCGCACAAACAAUGAAUUAUCGCGGCAGGUGUCUGAUAGUUACUCAUUACGAGACACAAAUCAGAGCUACAAUGAGCUGAGUGAACAAGGGAAAUUUAAAGAACUUAACGAUUAUCUUGGAGGUGAACUUCAUCUGCAAAAUCAUGGAGAGUACUUCGGAGAGACAUUUGCUUCUGCAAAUGACGCUGCUUUCCAUGGAGAGCAAGUUUAUCGGCAAAAUGAUGAUUUUGAUAUUCUGAAAUGGUGGAAAGACAAUGAGUCAACAUAUCCAACUCUCGCUGCUAUUGCACGUGAUGUUCUAGCCAUACCUGGAUCCGCUGUUCCCUCUGAAGCUGCAUUUGAUGUUGCUGAUGAGCGGGCAAGGCUAUUCGAGACAGAGCUCAGUCCUCAAACAGCUGAAGCCCUUAUUUGCACUCAGAGUUGGAUUUCAUGA
rnacentral:rRNA from 1 species